UACAGAGGUCUCGAGCGUUAGGCGGAAUCACUGGGCUUAAAGCGCUUGUAGGCGGUCCACCAAGUUUGGGGUGACAGUUGCCGACUUAAUCGGCAAAGUGCCUCAAAGACUGGCGGACUUGAGGGCCACAGAGGGACAUGGAACUCCAGGUGUAGUGGUGAAAUGCGUAGAUAUCUGGAAGAACACCAAAGGCGAAGGCAGUGUCCUGGGUGGUCGCUGACGCUGAGAGGCGAAAGCCAGGGGAGCGAACGGG
rnacentral:rRNA from 1 species